UUUUUUUUUUUUUUAAAUGCCUGGUUUCUUUAUGCUAAAUGGAAAAGAUUUAUGUAUGCAUAACAUUCUGUUACAUUGAUCUGUUGGUGAUUUCUUUUUUCUUUUUGUGGAACUGAAAAAUUUAUUGUCGAAAGCAACAUAAAUUCUAAGAACCUAUCUGAUAAUUCUUUCUUUGUAUACUAAUGUCUUACAGAUUGAUUAAUCCAGUCG
rnacentral:misc_RNA from 1 species